UACGUAGGGGGCAAGCGUUGUCCGGAAUCAUUGGGCGUAAAGAGCGUGUAGGCGGUUCGGUAAGUCUACUGUGAAAGUCCAGGGCUCAACCCUGGAAAGCCGGUGGAUACUGUCGGACUAGAGUGCGGAAGAGGCGAGUGGAAUUCCCGGUGUAGCGGUGAAAUGCGCAGAUAUCGGGAGGAACACCAAUUGCGAAGGCAGCUCGCUGGGACGUGACUGACGCUGAGACGCGAAAGCGUGGGGAGCAAACAGG
rnacentral:rRNA from 1 species